rnacentral:rRNA from 1 species
UACGUAGGUGGCAAGCGUUGUCCGGAAUUAUUGGGCGUAAAGCGCGCGCAGGCGGUUUUUUAAGUCUGAUGUGAAAGCCCACGGCUCAACCGUGGAGGGUCAUUGGAAACUGGGGAACUUGAGUGCAGAAGAGAAGAGCGGAAUUCCACGUGUAGCGGUGAAAUGCGUAGAGAUGUGGAGGAACACCAGUGGCGAAGGCGGCUCUUUGGUCUGUAACUGACGCUGAGGCGCGAAAGCGUGGGGAUCAAACAGG